UGGGGAAGGUGGGAGCUAUGGAAGGUUCUGAGCAGAGGAGGGUAUGAGCUGAUGUAGGUUCUGCAAAAUCUCUAUGGCCAUGGAUUGAUAAAGGGCUGUGAGGGGUGAGGGUGGAAGGGGGACGAUCAGUGAGGAGGUGACCGGGCUGGGUCAAGCUAAAAAUGAUGACUUGGCCUGGGCGGGGGCUGUGGAGGGAGGGAGGCGGGCAGAAGUCCUGGGUCUCAGAUUCUGGGUCUGUUCUGAAGGGACACACUGCUUGACCACAGGAAGCAGCAAUCGAGAAACCCGAGGUGCCUCUGAGGAUCCCGGCUGAGCCGAUGGAAGAACGGAGCUUCUGCUUACCGAGACGAGCCUUGUCCAGGUGCCCCCUCCCGGUGAAAGGACAGGUGUAGAGCAGCCCCUCCCCGGGGACACAAGGGCCCUUCUCGUCCAGAUCAGGAUUUUCCCCAGCUCCCCUGUCCCAGUCCCACCCACACGGAGUCGCCGGUAAACUGUGCGGAAUCAGUCGCCUGCGCCCUUCCCCCCCUCGAUGCAGGGAGAGCAGCGAACAGCAGCGAACACGUCUCCCGUCCCCCGGCCUGCGCCUGGCCGCGUCCUUUACAUUCCUCAACUCAUUUCAUCACAAUUCAAAGGGGCGGGGACGAUGAGGAUGUCUAUUUUGUGGGCAGGGAAACUGAGGCCCACGGAGGUUGUCACCUGCCCGGGACUACACAGCUAGCAAGUGGCGGAGGCAGGAUUUGACCCCAGGCAGUCAGGCCCAGGGCUGGUGCUCCUAUCCACGGCACCAUCGUGACGAGGUGCUCCCCGUGGCCCAGGAGGAGCCAGAACGGGCUCGGGAAAUGGGGUUGGGAAGGGGGGGAGGGGCCCCAGCUGCCCCUUCCACAGCGUCGGGGCAGUGACCCGGUCCUGUUCCCACUCUCUCUAUGGCCCUGUCAAUGACAAUGAUUGUGCCCAUUCUACAGAUGAGAAAGCAGAGGCUUGGAGAGAUGAAGUGACAUGUCCCGGGUCACACAGCUGGGCGUGACCUCCCGGGGCUCUGGGUCUCCAGACCCCUCGUCUGACCCUUUCUCGGCACUGCCGGCCCCGUCACCCGCUUCUGGCCUCGGCGUGGGGGCGCCGGCGGAGGGCUUUCUGCCUGGGCUGCAUUUGCUUUCCGCUGGCUCGUGCAGGCAGAGAAGCAGGCUGAGGGUGGGGGCGGUCCUGCGGGGGCCACCCAGCCGCCCGGCCCCAGCCCUGGGGGUGCAGCCAGCAUUUCUGAGGACAGCUCUGGACCAGCACUGGGGAUACCGAGGCAGGAGCACACACCUGAGCAGAACAUUCAGUCACCGCCUGUCCCUGCGCGCCGCCGUCCUUGGGCUCCUGACCUCGCCUCCGGCCCACCCGCCAGGGCUUUUCCUGGCGUCCUUGUCUUUUACUGACAUCUGGCGAAGAUGA
rnacentral:lncRNA from 1 species